rnacentral:rRNA from 1 species
CAUGCUUAACACAUGCAAGUCGAACGGCAGCACGGUCUAGCUUGCUAGAUGGGUGGCGAGUGGCGAACGGGUGAGUAACGCGUAGGAAUAUGCCUUAAAGCGGGGGACAACUUGGGGAAACCCAAGCUAAUACCGCAUAAGCUCUUAGGAGUAAAGCUGGGGACCUUCGGGCCUGGCGCUUUAAGAUUAGCCUGCGUCCGAUUAGCUAGUUGGUAGGGUAAAGGCCUACCAAGGCGACGAUCGGUAGCUGGUCUGAGAGGAUGACCAGCCACACUGGAACUGAGACACGGUCCAGACUCCUACGGGAGGCAGCAGUGGGGAAUAUUGGACAAUGGGGGCAACCCUGAUCCAGCAAUGCCGCGUGUGUGAAGAAGGCCUGAGGGUUGUAAAGCACUUUAGUUGGGGAGGAGGAUUGAUUGGUUAAGAGCUGAUUAAUUGGACGUUCCCCAAAGAAUAAGCACCGGCUAACUCCGUGCCAGCAGCCGCGGUAAUACGGAGGGUGCAAGCGUUAAUCGGAAUUACUGGGCGUAAAGCGCGCGUAGGUGGUUAGAUAAGUUGGAUGUGAAAGCCCCGGGCUUAACCUGGGAACUGCAUUCAAAACUGUCUAGCUAGAGUCUUGGAGAGGGGAGUGGAAUUUCUGGUGUAGCGGGGAAAUGCGUAGAUAUCGGAAGGAACACCAGUGGCGAAGGCGACUACCUGGCCAAAUACUGACACUGAGGCACGAAAGCGUGGUUAGCGAACAGGAUUAGAUACCCUGGUAGUCCACGCUGUAAACGAUGUCAACACUAGCCGUUGGGAGGAUUGCCUCUUGGUGGCGCAGCUAACGCGGUAAGUUGACCGCCUGGGGAGUACGGCCGCAAGGUUAAAACUCAAAUGAAUUGACGGGGGCCCGCACAAGCGGUGGAGCAUGUGGUUUAAUUCGAUGCAACGCGAAAAACCUUACCUACUCUUGACAUCCCGUGAACUUUCCAGAGAUGGAUUGGGGCCUUCGGGAACUCGGUGACAGGUGCUGCAUGGCUGUCGUCAGCUCGUGUCGUGAGAUGUUGGGUUAAGUCCCGUAACGAGCGCAACCCUUAUUGCUAGUUGCCAGCGCGUAAAGGCGGGGACUCUAGUGAGACUGCCGGUGACAAACCGGAGGAAGGCGGGGACGACGUCAAGUCAUCAUGGCCCUUACGGGUAGGGCUACACACGUGCUACAAUGGCCGGUACAGAGGGCAGCGAAGGGGUGACCUGGAGCGAAUCCUUUAAAGCCGGUCGUAGUCCGGAUUGAAGUCUGCAACUCGACUUCAUGAAGUCGGAAUCGCUAGUAAUCGCGAAUCAGCAUGUCGCGGUGAAUACGUUCCCGGGCCUUGUACACACCGC